rnacentral:lncRNA from 1 species
CUCAGUGGAGAAAAUGAACAUCACAUGGUGGAGAACGGUCCAUCACAACUCUGGUCUGCGGACGCCUCCCUUGCCCUGACACCCACAUGCCGGUCGGAAGGCGCCGGGUAGGGGAGCCCACCUGCUCUCUCUGAACACUCAUGGAUUAGAAUGCCAUUGAGGAAACUCAGGACCCCUGAAGAAUAAAGACAAGGCAGCAGGGUCCCAAUUCCUGACAGGACUUGGAGCCCAUCAGAGGCACAGUGUGCCUACAAAGAGGAGAAACAGACUGUGUGAGGGACCUCUUUCUGAAAAGUGCCGUGAGCCUCAGAACCCUCACGUCACCUUAGGGAAGUGGAGACCACUCAAAAGAAGAAGUCAAACUGCACUCAGGACUACCAUGGCCAAUGGAGCUUGAACCACAUUUCCCAAGUCUGUUAAAAAGGAAACUGGCACUUCGGAAGAAUAAAGGGAAUUCCGAAGAUGGUGGACAGCUUGAAACAGUCUUAAAACAGCCGAGAAGAGCUCCAAUCCAUGUUGGUGGCUCGUGCUCACGCCCCCACGUGUGGAACAAACUGGCAAGCAGAUCUGCUGUGCUCACAGCCACCCAGGGAAGCCCUGGAGACACCUGGCAUCUCUCAGCCACCUGAAAAUAAAUGCCAAUACACAGGAAAGGAUGGAAAAAGUUGCAUAGAGGACAUUUUUAAGGGCAGAGGGUUUUUUUAGACCUUUACAACAUGAUCAAUUAAAGCACAAUCAUUCGACCCCUCUAGCCUUCACUCACUUCAUAUUUCCCCUGCCUUGUCAAGCUCCAGCCAGAGAAGCCUCCUUUAUACAAAGAAGGAAACACAUACACACACGAACACACACACACGCCCAAACACACAUACACACACUUGCACAAACACACAUGCACACACACAUGCACACACGCACAAACACAAAACCAUACACACAUACACACAUUCACACAAACAUGCACAAACACGUGCACAAAUACACACACACACACACAGACACACGAAAAGGACAAGUCUCCUGAUGCUUGUCCAGCGUGCCUCCUCACCCCGGGCAUGCAGUUCCCAGACAUGCUGGCUGAGGUCCUGGAACACAUACCCAGCCACCCAACCAUCAGAAUUCACACUCCCAGGCCAAGAGAGACUCCAGAGAGUGCUGACAUGCAUCACUACCAGGGACCCUACAGGACUUAGGUCCAAGGUCCUGGACAAGCACUUCAUAAUAUUUAGUGACUUUUGAGUUGUGCAAUUUCUUAUAUUGAAAAUUGAUAAUAUUAACAUUUAGUUAUCACUUACAAAUGGCAAUAUUGUUGUAUUUUGGGAAAUAAACAACAGAAAGCUCUUUCUUCCUAG